GACAGAGGGUGCAAACGUUGUUCGGAUUUACUGGGCGUAAAGCGCGUGUAGGCGGCUUUGCAAGUCGGAUGUGAAAGCCCACGGCUCAACCGUGGAAGUGCAUCCGAAACUGCAUGGCUUGAGUCUCGGAGAGGAAGGUGGAAUGCUUGGUGUAGAGGUGAAAUUCGUAGAUAUCAAGCAGAACACCUGCGGCGAAGGCGGCCUUCUGGACGAUGACUGACGCUGAGACGCGAAAAGCGUGGGGAGCAAACAGG
rnacentral:rRNA from 1 species